CCUACGGGUGGCAGCAGUGAGGAAUAUUGGUCAAUGGGCGCGAGCCUGAACCAGCCAAGUCGCGUGAGGGAAGACGGUCCUAUGGAUUGUAAACCUCUUUUGUCGGGGAGCAAAAGACGCCACGCGUGGCGUUCCGAGAGUACCCGAAGAAAAAGCAUCGGAUAACUCCGUGCCGGCAGCCAGGGUUAUACGGAGGAUGCGAGCGUUAUCCGGAUUUUUUGGGUUUAAAGGGUGCGCAGGGGGAAGAUCAAGUCAGGGGUAAAAUUAGGGGGCCCAACCUCGUAGAGCCGUUGAAACUGGUUUUCUUGAGUGAGCGAGAAGUAUGCGGAAUGCGUGGUGUAGCGGUGAAAUGCAUAGAUAUCACGCAGAACUCCGAUUGCGAAGGCAGCAUACCGGCGCGCAACUGACGCUCAUGCACGAAAGUGUGGGUAUCGAACAGGAUUAGAUACCCCUGUAGUC
rnacentral:rRNA from 1 species